UACGAAGGGUGCAAGCGUUACUCGGAAUUACUGGGCGUAAAGCGUGCGUAGGCGGUUUGUUAAGUCCGUUGUGAAAGCCCUGGGCUCAACCUGGGAAUUGCAGUGGAUACUGGCGAGCUAGAGUGCGGUAGAGGAUGGUGGAAUUCCCGGUGUAGCGGUGAAAUGCGUAGAGAUCGGGAGGAACACCCGUGGCGAAAGCGGCGCACUGGACCAUAACUGACGCUGAUGCGCGAAGGCGUGGGGAGCGAACGGG
rnacentral:rRNA from 1 species